GCCUCAAGAGUCUGUCUGGUGGCUGGCUCGCAGCUAGCUUCUGCACAAUCCCCUCACUCUGACCCUGCAUCUUCAAUGCCGCCAUUCUGCCAAACCGCUGCUACUUCUGGAAAUGAACCCUGCUUUCCAGCAUUUGGGCUGGACAGGGUUCUCCAGGCUUGCUAACUACAGCAGCUGUUUUCUGUCCCCAGUAAGAGCCAGGGUGACAUACCUACCUGCCCAGAGCCACCCUUGACAGGAGACUCAGGGAGAAGUGCCCCCAGGACCAAAGCACCUGCCCAGCCCACUGGAAGAAGGAAGCUUACAAUUCUGUAUGCUUGGAACCCACCAAAGCCUGAGGCCUCACUGGCACCCAGCCAUCCACAGGAGUUAGCAGCUGUUUGAGUCCAGAAGGAAGAACUUUUGGAGUCGGAGACAAAUAAUGUUCACCACUCCACUUCCUUGUUCCUUCACACCUGCUACUUUGGAUUCAGACGAGAAGUUCCAAGAAUCCCUGAGUCCACAGCAUGACUCUGGUUUGCAGAACCUCUGUCCAGACCAGCCAGAUCAGAAUACAAAGGAAAGUGACACAUCCUGGAUCUCAACCCACUUCGAUGGGAAGUCUUCCUGAUAAAUUUAGAGAUAACCUAAAGCCCUUGGGGACUUCCUCUUGAUUUGAAUCUGCUGAACACCUGCCGCACCCCCACCGCACC